GUUUUAUUGGUGCUGGUCCCAGGGUGCAGAAAUGACCCCGUGGCGUGUAAAGAUUCUUUCUGCUUGGCUGUAGAAGAGUACAAGACCCAUAUAUUGUUGUGACUGGGCCAGCAGGCAGACUAGAGAGUGAGCUCCUUAGCACCAGCUUAUCUGCUAACCAGGCACAUGGCUUGGAGCAGCAGACUGACAUGUGUAGGAGUGGAAGGAGAAAGAAAAGGAAAAACUGGCAAAAUAACUGUCAAGGAACGAAGACAGGCUGAAGUUAUUAAUAUAUGACAAACAUCACUAACAGUCUCCGCAUGAUAUCUGACACACUAUGGUUUUCAUAACGUGCUGCUGUGGUACAAAAGAGGCAAUUAAUUGCAAGCUGAAGUAUGUAUUCCCUUGGCUGGAUUUAACUCAACGAGGCAUAAUCAUAUA